UACAGAGGGUGCGAGCGUUGUUCGGAAUUAUUGGGCGUAAAGCGCUUGUAGGCGGCACGUCAAGUCGCGUGUGAAAUCCCCCAGGCUUAACCUGGGAAGUGCGCGCGAAACUGACGAGCUUGAGUGCCGGAGAGGGUCGCGGAAUUCCCGGUGUAGAGGUGAAAUUCGUAGAUAUCGGGAGGAACACCAGUGGCGAAGGCGGCGACCUGGACGGACACUGACGCUGAGACGCGAAAAGCUAGGGGAGCGAACGGGG
rnacentral:rRNA from 1 species